GAAGAAACAGUGGUUUGAGACGUGGAAGAAAGCUUUUAGUCAACGAUGGACGCAGGUAAAAGGGGAGGCAGCGUUGAACAGAGGUGAAAGAAGUAUACUUAAUGGGAUCUGUGGGAAAGUUGGAGCUUGCUGUGAAAAAAUGUAAGAAUCUUCAUAAAACUGAAAAUAUGCACUUGGAGAUAAGAGAAAAAAUGAGGGAUUCGAAGAACUUGCCGAAGGAAAAGGAAAUACGCAAUAUUAAACAAUUAAAUCAACAAAUUCAACAACAAGGAAAAUGAAAAAACUACGCCUAACAGGUGAAGACAUCACAUAUAAAUACGACAAAAUAACAAAGCCAGCCUGCGUUCACAAAUUGUGGAAGAAUAUAUACGAUUAAGAGGACGAUAAAUAUAGGCAUAUAUCCACGCGGUAAAAAUUUUUUAUAU